AUUGAACGCUGGCGGCAGGCCUAACACAUGCAAGUCGAGCGAGCGGCGGUCGGGUGAGUAAUGUCUGGGAAACUGCCUGAUGGAGGGGGAUAACUACUGGCAACGGUAGCUAAUACCGCAUACCAUCAGAUGUGCCCAGAUGGGAUUUGCUGGUAGGUGGGGUAACGGCCCACCUAGGCGACGCUCCCUAGCUGGGCUGAGAGGAUGACCAGCCACACUGGAACUGAGAAACGGGCCAGACUCCUACGGGAGGCAGCAGUGGGGAAGAUGGCACAAUGGGCGCAAGCCUGAUGCAGCCAUGCCGCGUGUGUGAAGAAGGCCUUCGGGUUGUAAAGCACUUUCAGCGGGGAGGCGUUACCCGCAGAAGAAGCACCGGCUAACUCCGUGCCAGCAGCCGCGGUAAUAC
rnacentral:rRNA from 1 species